GAGACAGCAGCCGCCGCGGGAAUACGUAGGUGGCAAGCGUUGUCCGGAAUUAUUGGGCGUAAAGGGCUCGCAGGCGGUUUCUUAAGUCUGAUGUGAAAGCCCCCGGCUCAACCGGGGAGGGUCAUUGGAAACUGGGAAACUUGAGUGCUGAAGAGGAGAGUGGAAUUCCACGUGUAGCGGUGAAAUGCGUAGAGAUGUGGAGGAACACCAGUGGCGAAGGCGACUCUCUGGUCUGUAACUGACGCUGAGGAGCGAAAGCGUGGGGAGCGAACAGGAUUAGAUACCCCAGUAGUCCCUGUCUCUUAUAC
rnacentral:rRNA from 1 species